GCAAGCAACAAGCGCGUUUGGAAGUCAGUUAGUUAGCGAAUUGUCUGCUCAAAAGAGUGGGAGCAGUAGAAAUCCAUGAAAAAAUGACACGAAUACAAAACUCAGCAAUGCGAGAGCGCAGAGCUAAAGCUUAGCUAUUUUAAUGGGCUACUGACAGACUGUAAGCAUCAAGGAGAGUAAUCAUCAGAUGCACUAUUUUGCCAAAGUAUAGGAUAUAAGAUGUAGAAAUGCGAGUAAAGAAGGCAGAAUUUGUAAGUGGGAGGGCGGAAAAUACAUAUAUAAUUGGACAGGAAGAUAGAAAACGAGGGUGUUGAAUCCUAGAGCGAUAAUAUAAUUUUGUUGGCAUCCGAACUGUGAAGCGCAUAAAAGUGCUCUGCGAAUGACACAUAUGCGGAGCAUUAGUAAUGUUAUGAAAGGUGAAAUUUGCGAAGCAGACGGGUGUGAGUUUCAAGCUCAGGUGACACACACACUUGCCAAAGGCGCGUUUGAAUGCUUGCGAGCGGUUUUGUCGCCGAUACAUGUCGGGUAUACAUGUAUAAUAUGUAAUUUCCUUUAAUAGAAUGACGUCGGCUGUAGUACACGCGUGUGUGGUAUUGACAAAAAUCUAGAUGCGGUUAGCAGGGGAGAUGUAAAACAAAAUGUUGUCAUUAACAAAUUUAUUGCAGAAACAAGUGUGCGCACUACACAAUUGUAGUUUUGAAUUAUUUUUGCUGUGAAUAUGUAGCUAAUGCUAAAAACAAAACAAAAUGAAUAUAAAAUAUUAAUAUACAAUAUAUUCAACACUGGCAGUUUCAGCACAUUUUGUUAUGGAAAUUAUGGAAUCAUUUAAAAAAGUACCAAGACGUUAAAACAGAAAAAUUUACAUUUAAUUGAGCUUAUAACUAACUACUGAUUCAUAAUUGUAUACGCCCACACAUGGUCCUUUGUGUUUUGGACUUGUGCGAUUCAUUGCUUUAAGCUACACACUUUGUCUCAUAGUCUUUACUCCACCCAAUAAAUGGUUUAGUUCUUUUUAUAUACAUGUACAUAUUUCUUACCAUAAAUUCUCUUCUGCUGCAGUAGAUGCAUCCUUUUUCUUCGCUGUGAAAGAUGAUGUCAGCGCAUUGGUGCCAUUUACAGGCAAACCCAUGUCGAGCGCCAUAUCGGAUUUGACAAACUAAUCCUCACAGCAACAGCUGCUUUAUUUGCGACUUUAUACGCUUAUUUACUCUUGAAGUAUGUUGUGUUAAGAAAAAAGUGAGUAUAUAGCUGAGUAAUGCAGGAUAAGGUUGAUUAUGUACAGAAACACACAGAAAUAUGACAAUUCUUCAAUUUUUUGUCAGCUGUUUCGAACUGCGAAAAUUUUCACACAAGAACAAGUCACGAAUUUUAACUAGUGUACUAACGUUAUUUUAACGUUGGCAGCGACAAUCCAGUUGACGAAUUUUAUGUGUAAUCGGUAUGAGUAUUCCGCUGUUUCCGGGGCGGUGUUUUAGGGCACAGGUAAUAAUACUACAGUAUGUAAAACGCGUUAAAGUUUGGCGAAAAGUGCCGUGUUAAAUAACCACAAAUACCAGCAAUAGAAGCAGCAAGAUGUGUAGAAGAGUUGAUCAGUUGGAUUAAACGAUUACUUUGUUAUACUCGUUUCUCGAUUAUCGUUUGUUAAAAUAUAUAUAAUUUCUGCACUAAUGUUUCCUUUUUAUUACGAAGUAAGUUCCUACAUCAGUGCCGGGCCUUGUUUCUGGAAGAGCUUAUCCACUUUUUUUCUUCAAUUGUUUUACCAACUGUCAAUUUUUUCUUUUGUACUCUCCCACUCUCACUGCUUCCACUUCCAACU